GAUUUCUGACGAACCGGAGUGGCCCGUUUCCUUUCAGGGAAUGAGUGCCGCUUUGAGUUUGUCAUCCUUCCAGAGAGCUGCGUCUACCGUUUAUUCGGCCGGACGUAUGCGAUCUGGAUCUAUUACUUUGAAAAAAUUAGAGUGUUUAAAGCAGGCUUACGCUGUGAAUACAUUAGCAUGGAAUAAUAAUCUAGGACUUUGGUUCUAUUUUGUUGGUUUCUAGGACUGAAGUAAUGAUUGAUAGGGAUAGUUGGGGGUGCUAGUAUUCCGCGGCCAGAGGUGAAAUUCUUGGAUUCGUGGAAGACUAACUACUGCGAAAGCAUU
rnacentral:rRNA from 1 species